UACGUAGGUGGCAAGCGUUGUCCGGAUUUACUGGGCGUAAAGAGCGCGCAGGCGGUCGUUCAAGUCGCGUGUGAAAGCCCCCGGCUCAACUGGGGAGGGUCACGCGAUACUGAUCGACUCGAAGGCAGGAGAGGGUAGUGGAAUUCCCGGUGUAGUGGUGAAAUGCGUAGAUAUCGGGAGGAACACCAGUGGCGAAGGCGACUACCUGGCCUGUUCUGACGCUGAGGCGCGAAAGCUAGGGGAGCAACGGG
rnacentral:rRNA from 1 species